GAUUGAACGCUGGCGGCAGGCCUAACACAUGCAAGUCGGGCGGAUGAAGGGAGCUUGCUCCUGGAUUCAGCGGCGGACGGGUGAGUAAUGCCUAGGAAUCUGCCUGGUAGUGGGGGAUAACGUCCGGAAACGGGCGCUAAUACCGCAUACGUCCUGAGGGAGAAAGUGGGGGAUCUUCGGACCUCACGCUAUCAGAUGAGCCUAGGUCGGAUUAGCUAGUUGGUGGGGUAAAGGCCUACCAAGGCGACGAUCCGUAACUGGUCUGAGAGGAUGAUCAGUCACACUGGAACUGAGACACGGUCCAGACUCCUACGGGAGGCAGCAGUGGGGAAUAUUGGACAAUGGGCGAAAGCCUGAUCCAGCCAUGCCGCGUGUGUGAAGAAGGUCUUCGGAUUGUAAAGCACUUUAAGUUGGGAGGAAGGGCAGUAAGUUAAUACCUUGCUGUUUUGACGUUACCAACAGAAUAAGCACCGGCUAACUUCGUG
rnacentral:rRNA from 1 species